UACGUAGGGACCAAGCGUUGUUCGGAUUUACUGGGCGUAAAGGGCGCGUAGGCGGCUUGGCAAGUGGAAGGUGAAAUCCCUCGGCUUAACCGAGGAACUGCCCUCCAAACUGCUUUGCUUGAGGCCGGGAGAGGUGAGUGGAAUUCCGGGUGUAGUGGUGAAAUGCGUAGAUAUCCGGAGGAACACCAGUGGCGAAGGCGGCCUUCUGGGAUGCUCCUGACGCUCAGACACGAAAGCUAGGGGAGCGAACGGG
rnacentral:rRNA from 1 species